rnacentral:lncRNA from 1 species
GGCCUCUAUAGGUAUCCACACGAGGUUGGUGAUUUGAUCGGUCCUCACUGAGGUGCUAGCUCCCUUGCAAAGGACGUCCUUCUUACUCAAAGAUGGAAGAGAGAGAAGAAGAGAGAUGACGGCUAGGGUUUUCUAAAAACUUUCAUAUAUUAUAUAGAGGGAUAUAAUCCUCUUUUUAAUAAUAUAAUGACUAUUAAGGAUAAAUACAAAUCUAUAUUUAAAUUUAUCUUUUCCUUAAUUGGUUAGAUCGAUGAAAUCCUAAUUUGAUUCGACUUGAACUUUAUCUUAAUUUGAUCAUAUCAAAUUAAUAAUACAAUAUUUGCAUAUAAGUCCUCUCAUAAUUUACUAACUGUUAGUAAGUCCUCUCUUAUAACAUUUACACUUUAAUACCACUAAUUUAUAACAAUUACAAAUUAGUUCAAUUAUCAACAUAUUGACAAUUAGGUCCUCUGGCAAUUUAAAAAACGUGAUUUAGCUAUCCGAUCAGUCACAACCUCUUAUGUGUGUAACCUCAUAAGUUCUAUUAUAUCUGGUAGUGAGAUAUAUUUUGAUCACUAUUAAGAAUAUCACUGAAAUUCUUUUUAGUGGAUCGGAACAAAUCCAACUAGCCCAAUGAGAAUUAUCAAUCAGCUAGAUAAUUCUCAUGAGUCUCACAAUCCACCAAUGACGCCUAGUAGCAUGUAGUGGCAUUCCAGUAAAAACGAAUACUGAACCUCUUGGUGCAGUUAUCGUGUGAUACAGUCCUUCUAUCAUGAGUCCCGACUAGACGGAGGUCAUAAAAUAACUCGUUAAACCCCAUCAUCUGUCAUAUGCUAAAUUUAUUCAACUCGAGUUUCUAAUAUCAGAAAAUCUUUUUCAGUAUUAACUCUGCCCUGACCAAGGUCUUCUAAACUCGGUCUCAUAAAUAACAUAGGACUAAUGCCCCUUUCUACCAAAGGAGAUAGAUUUCAUUUAAGUGCACACCCUAUUUCUACAAUGAACCUACUGUAGCCAACAUGCACCGCAAAAAUCCGAAUGGCUAGGGACCAAGU